GAUGAACGCUAGCUACAGGCUUAACACAUGCAAGUCGAGGGGCAGCAUGGUCUUAGCUUGCUAAGGCCGAUGGCGACCGGCGCACGGGUGAGUAACGCGUAUCCAACCUGCCUUACACUCUUGGACAGCCUUCUGAAAGGGAGAUUAAUACAAGAUGUUAUCAUGAGUAAGCAUUUUCGCAUGAUUAAAGGUUUACCGGUGUAAGAUGGGGAUGCGUUCCAUUAGAUAGUAGGCGGGGUAACGGCCCACCUAGUCUUCGAUGGAUAGGGGUUCUGAGGGGAAGGUCCCCCACAUUGGAACUGAGACACGGUCCAAACUCCUACGGGAGGCAGCAGUGAGGAAUAUUGGUCAAUGGACGAGAGUCUGAACCAGCCAAGUAGCGUGAAGGAUGAAGGUUCUAUGGAUUGUAAACUUCUUUUAUACGGGAAUAAACGGAUCCACGUGUGGAUUUUUGCAUGUACCGUAUGAAUAAGGAUCGGCUAACUCCGUGCCAGCAGCCGCGGUAAUACGGAGGAUCCGAGCGUUAUCCGGAUUUAUUGGGUUUAAAGGGAGCGUAGAUGGGUUGUUAAGUCAGUUGUGAAAGUUUGCGGCUCAACCGUAAAAUUGCAAUUGAUACUGGCAGUCUUGAGUACAGUUGAGGUAGGCGGAAUUCGUGGUGUAGCGGUGAAAUGCUUAGAUAUCACGAAGAACUCCGAUUGCGAAGGCAGCUUACUAACCUGUAACUGACAUUGAUGCUCGAAAGUGUGGGUAUCAAACAGGAUUAGAUACCCUGGUAGUCCACACGGUAAACGAUGAAUACUCGCUGUAGGCGAUAUACAGUCUGCGGCCAAGCGAAAGCAUUAAGUAUUCCACCUGGGGAGUACGCCGGCAACGGUGAAACUCAAAGGAAUUGACGGGGGCCCGCACAAGCGGAGGAACAUGUGGUUUAAUUCGAUGAUACGCGAGGAACCUUACCCGGGCUUAAAUUGCAACCGAAUAUGGCGGAAACGCUAUAGCUAGCAAUAGCGGUUGUGAAGGUGCUGCAUGGUUGUCGUCAGCUCGUGCCGUGAGGUGUCGGCUUAAGUGCCAUAACGAGCGCAACCCUUGCCGAUAGUUACUAACAGGUCAUGCUGAGGACUCUGUCGGGACUGCCAUCGUAAGAUGUGAGGAAGGUGGGGAUGACGUCAAAUCAGCACGGCCCUUACGUCCGGGGCUACACACGUGUUACAAUGGGGGGUACAGAGGGCUGCUACCACGCAAGUGGACGCCAAUCCCAAAAACCUCUCUCAGUUCGGAUUGAAGUCUGCAACCCGACUUCAUGAAGCUGGAUUCGCUAGUAAUCGCGCAUCAGCCACGGCGCGGUGAAUACGUUCCCGGGCCUUGUACACACCGCCCGUCAAGCCAUGGGAGCCGGGGGUACCUGAAGUGCGUAACCGCAAGGAGCGCCCUAGGGUAAAA
rnacentral:rRNA from 1 species